AUUGAACGCUGGCGGCAUGCCUUACACAUGCAAGUCGAACGGUAACGGGCCUUCGGGUGCCGACGAGUGGCGAACGGGUGAGUAAUACAUCGGAACGUGCCCGAUCGUGGGGGAUAACGAGGCGAAAGCUUUGCUAAUACCGCAUACGAUCUACGGAUGAAAGCAGGGGACCGCAAGGCCUUGCGCGGACGGAGCGGCCGAUGGCAGAUAAGGUAGUUGGUGGGAUAAAAGCUUACCAAGCCGACGAUCUGUAGCUGGUCUGAGAGGAUGAUCAGCCACACUGGGACUGAGACACGGCCCAGACUCCUACGGGAGGCAGCAGUGGGGAAUUUUGGACAAUGGGCGCAAGCCUGAUCCAGCCAUGCCGCGUGCAGGAUGAAGGCCUUCGGGUUGUAAACUGCUUUUGUACGGAACGAAAAGCCUUCUUUUAAUACAGGAGGGUCAUGACGGUACCGUAAGAAUAAGCACCGGCUAACUACGUG
rnacentral:rRNA from 1 species